CACGUAGGAGGCGAGCGUUGUCCGGAAUCACUGGGUGUAAAAGCGCGUGUAGGCGGCCUGUCAAGUCUGCUGUGAAAAGCGCCUGGCUUAACCGGGCGAGGUCGGUGGAAACUGGCGGGCUGGAGGACGGUAGAGGGGGGGGUGGAAUUCCCGGUGUAUGGUGAAAUGCGUAGAGAUCGGGAGGAACACCAGUGGCGAAGGCGGCCCCCCUGGGCCGCUCCUGACGCUGAGACGCGAAGGCGCGGGGAGCGAACGG
rnacentral:rRNA from 1 species